AACGAACGCUGGCGGCAGGCUUAACACAUGCAAGUCGAACGCCCCGCAAGGGGAGUGGCAGACGGGUGAGUAACGCGUGGGAAUCUACCCAACCCUACGGAACAACUCCGGGAAACUGGAGCUAAUACCGUAUACGCCCUACGGGGGAAAGAUUUAUCGGGGAUGGAUGAGCCCGCGUUGGAUUAGCUAGUUGGUGGGGUAAAGGCCUACCAAGGCGACGAUCCAUAGCUGGUCUGAGAGGAUGAUCAGCCACAUUGGGACUGAGACACGGCCCAAACUCCUACGGGAGGCAGCAGUGGGGAAUAUUGGACAAUGGGCGCAAGCCUGAUCCAGCCAUGCCGCGUGAGUGAUGAAGGUCUAGGGUUGUAAAGAUCUUUCAGGUGGGAAGAUAAUGACUGUACCACCAGAAGAAGCCCCGGCUAACUCCGUGCCAGCCGCCGCGGUAA
rnacentral:rRNA from 1 species